UACAUUGGGUGCAAACGUUGCUCGGAAUUAUUGGGCGUAAAGCGCGCGUAGGCGGUUACUCAAGUCGGAUGUGAAAGCCCUCGGCUUAACUGAGGAAGUGCACCCGAAACUGAGUAGCUAGAGUACUAAAGAGGGUCGCGGAAUUCCCGGUGUAGAGGUGAAAUUCGUAGAUAUCGGGAGGAACACCGGUGGCGAAGGCGGCGACCUGGGUAGAUACUGACGCUGAGGCGCGAAAGCGUGGGGAGCAAACAGG
rnacentral:rRNA from 1 species